GGGGAUGUUCCGGUUUCGACAGGCGGGAACGACUUCUGAGGGCAGUGGCUUGGUCUCCUUAUCGACCGACACAAUUACAAGUGCCAAUAAACCUGUUUUAUUCCGUGCUCCGGCCAUGAUGGCCUGCGCUGCCUAAUUCAUUAGGCUCUUGCGCUUUUCACAGAUCUGAGGAUCUGUUGCACACCCCGAUUUCAUCUUUUCAUUUCAUGACGUCGGGAUUUUAGAAAUGAGCUCAGGAAGAAGCUUCCUUUCCUUCUUCCUGCGACACAAGGAAGGAUCAGGAAUAAAAAGUCUGCCAAUGAACUUUUAUUUCCUUACCCGAUCAUUGGAUAAACUGUAGUCCUCGCUAGAGAUUCUCGUUUGGACGCGGGUUCGACUCCCGUCAUCUCCACCA
rnacentral:tmRNA from 1 species